CGACCCAUCUGGAUGGCGAUCGUCAGCCCCUGCGGGUGUCGCUUGUAUACUUCCGUACUUCUGUUUAUCCACGGAAGGGGAACUAUCGAGGGAACGAGCGCGCGAAAGGUGUUCAACAUAAAUUUACCUUACAAACUUGGCAAAUAGACGAAACAGUCUCGUGAAGCGCACGCGGCACCAACCGUGCUUCAUGUUGAAUUCAUGCACAACCUCGGUUAAGACAACGAACACACGCAUAUUUCCCUGGACAUACCUAAACUACAUACAGUGACUGUAUAUAAGGAAACCGACUUUUAAGUUGGUAUACAUAUUGGUACUAGAAACGCCAAGAAGCUCGAAAAAAAUGUCUUCAACAAGCAGUCUCCUCCUUCUCUUGGCUUCAGUAAUUGUAAUGUCAGGAUUUUUCGUGGCACCUGCUGAAGCAGGUCACUUGAAAUGCCCGUUUUCGUGCGACCAUCCCAUGGCGCCGUUUGCAUGUCAGGGCUUGUGUAAAUAGGGGCAUUUGAUCUGAAAUUGGCAACCGUGUGCGAUACCUAAUGGAAAUCGGAUUAUAAACUUGGGUUAUGGAGGUUUAUUCCUAUAUUAAUGAAAGUUAGCAAACAAUAAAACAUUCUGCAUUAUGAAUAAAUUACUGUUACUCUUCA